rnacentral:sRNA from 1 species
AACUUAUUAACAGAAACAGAGAUAGGGAUGCAUGCAAGUGGAAGGCAAGAUGAAGAUCAACUAGCUAAGGUCCUUGGUUGCCAUGGUGAUAAUGGUAAGUAUCAAUAGUGUGAUGUAACCUGACCGCUUUCAUCAAUAAUUAAGGUUAUGCAUGGAUAAAUAGAUAAAUUGAAAGCAUUGGAAGGCUGACCAGGGCACAAAUAGGAAACUCAGAAAGUCUGUGUGAAGCCUCUCGAAAGUCGCUGCCUCCCCUGAAAAUGUUCCGUAGAGGUGAGGCUCGACCUAGGGUCUGAGCAUUAUGACAUCAGUGUCUGUCUUGCUAUGGAUCCCUAGGGAUUGCUGGCCAGCCAGUAUAGCUGAAAUGGAGAAUGGUGGGUUCAGUCGGAGAUCCUGUCUCAAAAACUAAGGUGAAGAGGGUAGAGGAAGAGCAGAUCCUUAAGACAUGAAGUGGAAACAUUUGGGCAAACACAGCGAGGCUAAGGCCUUUGAACAUCAACAGCAUCUCAAUCAGUAAUGACAAUGCAGGAAAGGUCUAGCAGAUAAUGGAUCGACUCUUCCCAGGGAUGAUGCCUGACAGACUUGAUAGACACAAGGCAGCCAGCGAACCUGCGUAAUGAUGUGACAUCCUUAUGCCAGAGCCUUCCAUCGUGGAUUAAGGGCCAGCAGCUCUCCAGGGAUCCUCUAGGCUUCCAGUGACAGAUUGGAACUUGUGAGGCAUCCAUCCCAGUGGGCUGAGAAAGUCCCAGGUUCUCAGCUUCUCCAGUGUGCCCACAGCCACGUGGGACAACUCAACCCGUAUCAAGUAAGCCAGUCUGGUAAGUCACCUUUGUGAUAGCUGUGCAUUCUAACAGUGGGGCUCCUCUGGAAAAUCCUGACCAACAACAGUGGACUGAAUAACUAAAGUUCCCGCCUUCUUUUGGCUUAGCGUAAAGAAGAAGGGACCAGUUAUGAGCAAGGCAACGUGGGGAAGUGGCCAUAAUUACUAAGACUUUCAAUAAGCCAAGAUUAGAAAGGGACCGCGAAUGUGGAAUGGACAGAUUGUCCUUGCAGUUUUUCUCCUAAGGCGACUUCUGAGCAUGUCCCUGAUUUAGGAAAGGAUGCCAGUUAUAAAUCUACCUAGAGAAGAACAUUCCAGACUGUGAGGUGGCAAAGUGCAGGUACCUACAUGGAGGAAAAUCCAAAAUGAAGCCAAGGAGAACAAUGCCAAAAAAAGCUCAAGAGGACCUGUUGGAGACAAAGAUCAGAGGUGAAAAAGAUCCGAGGUUCAGCUGAGCGACAUCAGGGAAGCUGCAAAGCACACAGGCUU